rnacentral:rRNA from 1 species
AUUGAACGCUGGCGGCAUGCUUUACACAUGCAAGUCGAACGGUAACAGGUUAAGCUGACGAGUGGCGAACGGGUGAGUAAUGCAUCGGAACGUGCCCGAUCGUGGGGGAUAACGCAGCGAAAGCUGCGCUAAUACCGCAUACGAUCUGAGGAUGAAAGCGGGGGACCGUAAGGCCUCGCGCGAUCGGAGCGGCCGAUGUCAGAUUAGGUAGUUGGUGGGGUAAAGGCUCACCAAGCCGACGACCUGUAGCUGGUCUGAGAGGACGACCAGCCACACUGGGACUGAGACACGGCCCAGACUCCUACGGGAGGCAGCAGUGGGGAAUUUUGGACAAUGGGCGCGAGCCUGAUCCAGCAAUGCCGCGUGCAGGAAGAAGGCCUUCGGGUUGUAAACCGCUUUUGUACGGAGCGAAAAGGCUCUCUCUAAUACAGGGGGUUCAUGACGGUACCGUAAGAAUAAGCACCGGCUAACUACGUGCCAGCCGCCGCCGCAG